CUCGAAUAGAUCUGUUAGAUGCAGUCAGUUUAGAUGUGGCCAACAGGUGCAUUAGCAAAGAGAAGAUCUAAGGACAACACACUUAAAGACAACAGCAUUUAAUCUAGAAUUCCACCCUGAAUAUUUGAAACAAAAACAAUCUUAAGAGGUUUCAAGUUUCUUGGGCCUCAUCUGCGUUCCACUCAAGAACUCAGAACAGAGCACACCAGCUGUAAACCAGGAAUCCCAACAGGCAUUGGCCCUUCACAUCAAGUCUCUCUGCACUUCUUGAUUCACUUCACAUGUUGAAUAUCUUCAUUCUGACAUUUUUCCUCCUCUGUACACCGAAGUCCAAGGCUUCUGCACUCUAAUGAAUAAGGAGUGAUCCUUUUCUAACAAUGAGACAUGUC
rnacentral:lncRNA from 1 species